UGCCUUACACAUGCAAGUUGUACGGAAGCUUUUUAAGUUUUAGUAGCGGACGGGUGAGUAACGCGUGAGAAUCUACCUUUAGGAUGGGAACAACAGUUAGAAAUGAUUGCUAAUGCCCAAUAUGCUUUAUUAAGUGAAAUGAAUUAUAUUCGCCUGAAGAAGAGCUCGCGUCUGAUUAGCUAGUUGGUAGGGUAAUGGCUUACCAAGGCGACGAUCAGUAGCUGGUCUGAGAGGGUGGACAGCCACAUUGGAACUGAGACACGGUCCAAACUCC
rnacentral:rRNA from 1 species